AUUGAAUGCUGGCGGCAGGCCUCACACAUGCAAGUCGAACGAGUGGCGGACGGGUGAGUAAUGUCUGGGAAACUGCCUGUUGGAGGGGGAUAACUACUGGAAACGGUAGCUAAUACCGCAUACCAUCGGAUGUGCCCAGAUGGGAUUAGCUAGUAGGUGGGGUAACGGCUCAUCUAGGCGAAGAUCCCGAGCUGGUCUGAGAGGAUGACCAGCCACGCUGGAAGUGGGAAACGGUCCGAACUCCUACGUAAGGCAGCAGGGGGAAAUAUUGCACAAUGGGCACAAGACUGAUGCAGCCAUGCCGAGUGUAUGAUGAAGGCCUUCGGGUUGUAAAGUACUUUCAGCGAAGAGGCGUUACCCGCAGAAGAAGCACCGGCUAACUCCGUGCCAGCCGCCGCGGUAAUAC
rnacentral:rRNA from 1 species